UACGGGGGGAGCAAGCGUUGUUCGGAUUUACUGGGCGUAAAGGGCGCGUAGGCGGCCACCGCAAGUCGACUGUGAAAUCUCCGGGCUUAACCCGGAAAGGUCAGCCGAUACUGCGGGGCUAGAGUGCAGAAGGGGCAACUGGAAUUCUCGGUGUAGCGGUGAAAUGCGUAGAGAUCCGGAAGAACACCGGUGGCGAAGGCGGCCUGCUGGGCAGUGGCUGACACUGAGGCGCGACAGCGUGGGGAGCAAACAGG
rnacentral:rRNA from 1 species